rnacentral:rRNA from 1 species
UACGUAGGGUGCGAGCGUUAAUCGGAAUUACUGGGCGUAAAGUGUGCGCAGGCGGCAGAGCAAGUCGAGUGUGAAAGCCCCGGGCUUAACUUGGGAAUUGCGCUCGAAACUACUUUGCUGGAGUGUGGCAGAGGAAGGUGGAAUUCCACGUGUAGCGGUGAAAUGCGCAGAUAUCAGGAGGAACACCGGUGGCGAAGGCGGGUCUCUGGGCCGAUACUGACGCUGAGGAGCGAAAGCGUGGGGAGCGAACAGG